GUAAGAGGACGGUGGAGGUCGCUCAAAGCGAAAGCGCAAAAUUUUCUGCGGAUUGCUUCUGCGCAUGACAGAAUGUGAAAAAACCCGCCAAAGCAAAAGAAGAAGAAGAAGACGGUAGGCGGUUAGUUGAAAUGGAGUCCAGUUUGUCACCCUACCGAGAAAUAAUUGAAAGUAUGCUCUGAAACGUCCAUUCUGACGAAGACAUUUCCAGUCAUCUCCACCUGGAAUGUGGAUUGACCAAAGGCUUUUCCAAAGCAAACAUCCGCAAAUUUUCCGCGCAAAACAGUAUAGGAAGAGAAAGGGUGCAGGACUCCAAACUGGAGAGCGAGAUUGCUCAAGCAAUUAAUGAGACUGGACCAUCCUAUGGAAGAAGAAUGAUGACUGGCUACCUGUCCUCCAAAGGUAUCGGAGCAUCUGAGGGGCGCGUUGGUAGUGUCCUCAGACAUAUUAACAGGCCAUAUCAUGCAGAUCGUCAUCAGAGAUCAAGGAACUUAAAUCCAGUGCCAUACAGUGCCGAGUGCAUGGGUCACAAACUGCACUUAGAUCAAAAUGAAAAAAUGGUGAUGUUCGGGGUGACCCAUGUCCUUGCUGUUGACGGUUUCUCCAGUAAAAUUGUCAGCCAUUCCACUAUGCCUGUCAAAAAUAACCUGACCAUAUAUCAAGACGUGUACAGAAGUGCUGUCCUAUAGCACGGAAUGUGGGACCAAAUACGAGUGGACCACGGAAGAGAGUUUUUCUUAACUCUUUUCAUGCAGGAGAAAUUGGCAGGCUACAGAAAUAACACAGCAAGGGAGCCGUACCUGCAAACAUGGCUUAUUGUCCUCUUUCCCUUAAUCACUCAGCUGCUAGCUGAUAAUAUUGAUUUCUCUGUCAGCACAAUGGUAUGGUCAGAGCCCAGUAAGAAUAGUAUCGUUGCUGCAGCUGAUAGGGAUCUGAGUAAAUUCAAGUAAACUGUUCUUCUCUGAAAGACUGCUUGCUAUUUCCUCACCAGUCAAAGAUAUGCAUUAUUUGUCUAGCUGAUGCCACAAUAACUGUACAAAUACAAAUGCAUGAAAAAUCACCUAACUAAUUGGGUUCUUGAUUAUUGUUGUCAUAGAAAAAUGAUUUUUUUUCGAUGAUUACGAUAAGCUGCAGAUUGUUAUUGUCAUUAUUGAAAUUAAAUGUAACAUUUUGUUUUUACUCUUUUGAAAUUACAGAAUCAUAUCGUUGAAAGGAUGUGGCCAGAUGUUAAUAACAGGGUAAACUACCCUCUGAAAAGGGCUCUCAUCCACCUUGUAGACCAGGAGGAACUCAACAUGGAGGACAACUUGACAUGGUAUUGUGUGUCCACGCUUACCUGUCAGGUGGCUCAGAUUGGACUUGACCGGAUGGUGCAGUCCUGGAAUGCACACAGGAUCCAAGGCAAGGGCAUCCCAGAUCAACUGGCUCUGGGUGGAUGCCCAAAGAAGGCGCCAGCAGAUUGUCUGCCAGAGGCUGCAGGAGCUGCACACACUUACCUGCAGGAAGUGGGGUCCUCUUUGACACAAGUGUCAAUGUUUGGGAGAAACCCAUUCUCCACAGCUGAAAACCAGACAGUAGCUGAACAUGAAUUUGCACAGCAGUACAGCGACGUUUCGGAAUUCUAUAACCGCACCGUCAACUAUGAACCAACCCAUUUCCAAAAUGGAAUUAGGGAUCUUAUUGACAUUGUGAGAAGACAUGUGUAGCCUGAUCUGUCAGAUCGCAGAAGCCAUGCAGGGUCUGGCCUGGAGCUUUUUUUUUAUGUUCUAAUGUUGCGUUGUUAAUGUGUUAGACGGCUUAGAUGUUUUGUUAACCUGAUUAGUCUCUGUUCAAAUGAAAGUGUAAAAAAAAAAAAA